AAAAAACUUAAAAAUUACACAUGCAUGUUAAUCUUCUUCUUCACUGAAUCUCCUUUAUCAAAUUAUUUAAUAUCCUAAGCAUUUUAACCUCUAAACUUCUCUCAAGUUUGAUUCUCAAUUCAAGUUUGGAUUUAUGUUGUUGUUGAUGACAAAAUAAUGGUCGAGGCGUGCAAUGAAGAUUGCCACCUCCUUGGUGAACAAAACCUCUCAGUUUUAAGUUACACCGGCAUUGAUUUUCCACCCAAAUGCUUCGUCCUCAUUUCUUAAAUCCUCCUCUAAACUCUUUUUCCACUUUGGCGAUUUCCCUUGGGUAUGAGAGAUUCUAAAAUAUAGGAGGUGGCCAAAGAAGUCAAGGAAAUCUUUUCUCUUUCUUAUCCCAUGUGCAUUUUCAUUCAGUUUUUCAAAUCAUGUAUAUAGUUUGUGUGAAUUUGGUAUGAAGAGUGUUAGUUAUAAAGAGGGAAUACAUCUAUUAAAAUAAUAUUGUAAAAGCUCAAACCUCUGCCCGGAAUUUAGAGCGCAUAACUCAAUAAUAGUAAGAUAAACAAUACUAAAAUUCAUUAUUUAGCAGAAGCAAUUAAAGUUUGUAGGUUAUAUUUCUUGCAUGUUACUUAAAAUGCUCAAUAGUGAUAUGGGAAUACUUUUGAAACUUAAACAGAAAAACAUAAAAAGAAAAAAAAUAUAAUUUCAUACCCCCGGCUCGUUUUUCAAUGCUGAGUUCCCCUGUGGCCAAAUCAGAGCCAAACUCUCGACCAAACGGCCGAAAAACACGGCCGAAACCCAGCAUCGCCGCCGCCCCCCCCCUCGAUUUUUGCCUCCGAUGAGGCCCUUCCCGGCCUCCGUUUGAUACAAUUUUUAUAUCAC
rnacentral:lncRNA from 1 species